rnacentral:rRNA from 1 species
AUUGAACGCUGGCGGCAGGCCUAACACAUGCAAGUCGAGCGGUAGAGAGAAGCUUGCUUCUCUUGAGAGCGGCGGACGGGUGAGUAAUGCCUAGGAAUCUGUCUGGUAGUGGGGGAUGACGUUCGGAAACGGACGCUAAUACCGCAUACGUCCUACGGGAGAAAGCAGGGGACCUUCGGCCCUUGCGCUAUCAGAUGAGCCUAGGUCGGAUUAGCUAGUUGGUGAGGUAAUGGCUCACCAAGGCGACGAUCCGUAACUGGUCUGAGAGGAUGAUCAGUCACACUGGAACUGAGACACGGUCCAGACUCCUACGGGAGGCAGCAGUGGGGAAUAUUGGACAAUGGGCGAAAGCCUGAUCCAGCCAUGCCGCGUGUGUGAAGAAGGUCUUCGGAUUGUAAAGCACUUUAAGUUGGGAGGAAGGGUUGUAGAUUAAUACUCUGCAAUUUUGACGUUACCGACAGAAUAAGCACCGGCUAACUCUGUGCCAGCAGCCGCCGUAA